rnacentral:rRNA from 1 species
ACUCCUACGGGAGGCAGCAGUGGGGAAUAUUGCACAAUGGGCGCAAGCCUGAUGCAGCCAUGCCGCGUGUAUGAAGAAGGCCUUCGGGUUGUAAAGUACUUUCAGCAGUGAGGAAGGCGGGUACGUUAAUAGCGUGCUUGUUUGACGUUAGCUGCAGAAGAAGCACCGGCUAACUCCGUGCCAGCAGCCGCGGUAAUACGGAGGGUGCGAGCGUUAAUCGGAAUUACUGGGCGUAAAGCGCAUGCAGGUGGUUUGUUAAGUCAGAUGUGAAAGCCCGGGGCUCAACCUCGGAAUUGCAUUUGAAACUGGCAGACUAGAGUACUGUAGAGGGGGGUAGAAUUUCAGGUGUAGCGGUGAAAUGCGUAGAGAUCUGAAGGAAUACCGGUGGCGAAGGCGGCCCCCUGGACAGAUACUGACACUCAGAUGCGAAAGCGUGGGGAGCAAACAGGAUUAGAUACCCUGGUAGGAUAGCC